rnacentral:rRNA from 1 species
CAAGCGUUGUUCGGAAUUACUGGGCGUAAAGGGCGCGUAGGCGGCCUUCUAAGUCAGACGUGAAAUCCCCCGGCUUAACCUGGGAACUGCGUCUGAUACUGGGAGGCUUGAGUAUGGGAGAGGGAUGUAGAAUUCCAGGUGUAGCGGUGAAAUGCGUAGAUAUCUGGAGGAAUACCGGUGGCGAAGGCGGCAUCCUGGACCAUAACUGACGCUGAGGCGCGAAAGCUAGGGGAGCAAACGGG